GACGAACGCUGGCGGCGUGCUUAACACAUGCAAGUCGAACGAAGUGGCGAACGGGUGAGUAAUACGUGAGUAACCUGCCCUCCUUUUUGGGAUAAGCCUUGGAAACGGGGUCUAAUACCGAAUAAAGGGGGAUGGGCUCGCGGCCUAUCAGCUUGUUGGUGGGGUGAUGGCCUACCAAGGCGGUGACGGGUAGCCGGCCUGAGAGGGUGACCGGGCACAUUGGAACUGCGAUAAGGCCCAGAGUCCGACGGGAGGGGGCAGCUGGGGAUAUGGCACAAUGGGUGAAAGCCUGAUGCAGCGACGCCGCGGAGGGGAUGAAGGCUUUCGGGUUGUAAACCUCUUUCGCUAUGGAAGGGGUAGGUGGAGAAGAAGCGCCGGCUAACUACGUGCCAGCAGCCGCGGUAAUAC
rnacentral:rRNA from 1 species